GACGAACGCUGGCGGCGUGCUUAACACAUGCAAGUCGAACGGAAAGGCCCCUUUGGGGGUACUCGUGUGGCGAAGGGGGGAGUAACAUGUGAGGAACCUGCCCUUGACUUCGGGAUUAAUUUCGGAAACUGGGGCCAAUUCCGGAAAGGGAUCCUUGCUGCAUGGUGGGGGUUGGAAAGAUUCGGCGGUUUUGGAUGGACCUGCGGCGUAUCGGCUUGUUGGUGGGGUAGUGGCUUACCAAGGCGUUGGCGCGUAGCUGGCCUGUGAGGGCGACCGGCCACACUGAGUCCUAGAGACGGCAGAGGCGCCGACGGGUGGCAGCAGGGGGAAAUAUUGAACAAGGGGCGGAGGCCGGAUGCAGCAACGCCGCGGGCGGGAUGACGGUCUUCGUGUUGUAAACCGCUUGCAGCAGGAGCCAAGCUUGUGUUGACGGUACCUGCAGAAGAAGCACCGGCUAACUACGUG
rnacentral:rRNA from 1 species